UCCGGUGACUAUGGCGGAGAGGUCCCACCCGUUCCCAUACCGAACACGGAAGUUAAGCUCUCCAGCGCCGAUGGUACUUGGGGAUUUCCCCCCGGGAGAGUAGGUCGUCGCCGGAU
rnacentral:rRNA from 1 species